rfam:Oreochromis niloticus linkage group LG9, whole genome shotgun sequence.
ACGUUAUCGGAAGCAGUGUCUUCCAUAAUUA